rnacentral:rRNA from 1 species
GACGAACGCUGGCGGCGUGCUUAACACAUGCAAGUCGAACGCUGAAGCCCUUUCGGGGGUGGAUGAGUGGCGAACGGGUGAGUAACACGUGGGUAAUCUGCCCUGUACUUCGGGAUAAGCCUUGGAAACGGGGUCUAAUACCGGAUAGGACCUGUCCUCGCAUGGGGGUGGGUGGAAAGUUCCGGCGGUAGGGGAUGAGCCCGCGGCCUAUCAGCUUGUUGGUGGGGGAGUGGCCUACCAAGGCGACGACGGGUAGCCGGCCUGAGAGGGUGACCGGUCACACUGGGACUGAGACACGGCCCAGACUCCUACGGGAGGCAGCAGUGGGGAAUCUUGCGCAGUGGGCGAAAGCCUGACGCAGCAACGCCGCGUGGGGGAUGACGGCCUUCGGGUUGUAAACCUCUUUCGACAUCGACGAAGGGGCCCUGUUGUGGGGUUUUGACGGUAGGUGUAGAAGAAGCACCGGCUAACUACGUGCCAGCCGCCGCCGUAA